rnacentral:antisense_RNA from 1 species
GAAUCCUAGGGAGCGGGUAAAGGACUAGGAGAGGGAGCAAGAUGGGCUCCGCCACGAGAUCCGGCUGAAGUCCGGCCAGGCGCCGGCCUCAACUGCAAGAGGAAGGCCGCCCCUCUCUCCCCAAGCUGAAACACCAGAAGAGCCAUACUCGGCCGUUCCCAACCACCGCCAGUUACCGGCCGCCAGCGAAGACCCUUUCAGCUUCCGCACUCCAUUGGCCUCUUGCGGUCAGGUCACGCAGCCGGAAGCCGCCCCCGGAAACGGAAGUCAGGCUACGAGUCACGGUGGCUACGAGUCACGGUGGCUCCGCGCUGGCGGCGGGUUCCCGCAAAAGGUCUUGGGGAAAGGAGCAUGCGCUGGAAGCUGUGUGCUGUUGGUUUGAGGAUCUUCAGUAAGCUAAAAGCGGAGAGUCAGGGGCCUUCUGCCCUACCAUGGUAUUUGCUAACGUUUAGAGAGUGCUUCCCCUUGCCGAGCACUGGUUCUUGAGGCUGGAAAGUCCAAGAGCAUGGCACUGGCAUCUGGUGAGGGCCUUCCUGUUGCAUUAUCCCAUGGCAG